GACGAACGCUGGCGGCGUGCUUAACACAUGCAAGUCGAACGAAGAGCGACGGAAGCUUGCUUCUAUCAAUCUUAGUGGCGAACGGGUGAGUAACGCGUAAUCAACCUGCCCUUCAGAGGGGGACAACAGUUGGAAACGACUGCUAAUACCGCAUACGAUCUAACCUCGGCAUCGAGGAUAGAUGAAAGGUGGCCUCUACAUGUAAGCUAUCACUGAAGGAGGGGAUUGCGUCUGAUUAGCUAGUUGGGGGGGUAACGGCCCACCAAGGCGAUGAUCAGUAGCCGGUCUGAGAGGAUGAACGGCCACAUUGGGACUGAGACACGGCCCAGACUCCUACGGGAGGCAGCAGUGGGGAAUCUUCCGCAAUGGACGAAAGUCUGACGGAGCAACGCCGCGUGAGUGAUGACGGCCUUCGGGUUGUAAAGCUCUGUUAAUCGGGACGAAAGGCCUUCUUGCGAAUAGUGAGAAGGAUUGACGGUACCGGAAUAGAAAGCCACGGCUAACUACGUG
rnacentral:rRNA from 1 species